GGAUGUGAGGGCGAUCUGGCUGCGACAUCUGUCACCCCAUUGAUCGCCAGGGUUGAUUCGGCUGAUCUGGCUGGCUAGGAGGGUGUCCCCUUCCUCCCUCACCGCUCCAUGUGCAUCCCUCCCGAAGCUGCGCGCUCGGUCGAAGAGGACGACCACCCCCGAUAGAGGAGGACCGUUCUUCGGUCAAGGGUAUACGAGUAGCUGCGCUCCCCUGCUAGAACCUCCAAACAAGCUCUCAAACUAGCUCCUCCUUUGGAUGGUUUGUUAUAAACUCAUGGUUUCCAGAAAGCCUUCACAGCAUUUGUCACAAUUUGUCAUUGUGCAUGUGUUUGUACAUGUAGACA
rnacentral:snRNA from 1 species